GCCCGGCCCGCCAAUGGGCGGCCAGUCCGUCUCUUGCCACCUGACGCCCGGGCUUUUGUUAUUAGGCGCGAGAGGCAGGUGCGGAGCCGCAGCCGGGACUCGCCCAAGUCUGGAAGGGGAGCGCGGACCUGCCGCCGCCGGCCCGCGGGACAGGUAUCAUACAGCCAUGGAGGAUUCUACCAUCAGUCGGGUUCCUAAAGGAGUCAGGCUUCUGUGGGAAAAGAGAGGACCUUGCAACAAGCAUGGGGGAUUCUUGAGUUCAUGCAUUUGGCCCCUGUUUUCUAUGGAUCUAUGGAGUUUGCAGGCUUAGCUUCUACUGCACAUGGUAGACUACUCCCACUGGAGCAGAGAGAUGAUGUGGAAUAAACUCCAUGAGCA